AGAACGAACGCUGGCGGCAUGCCUAAUACAUGCAAGUCGAACGAACUCUUCGGAGUUAGUGGCGCACGGGUGCGUAACGCGUGGGAAUCUGCCCUUGGGUUCGGAAUAACAGUUGGAAACGACUGCUAAUACCGGAUGAUGACGAAAGUCCAAAGAUUUAUCGCCCAGGGAUGAGCCCGCGUAGGAUUAGCUAGUUGGUGAGGUAAAGGCUCACCAAGGCGACGAUCCUUAGCUGGUCUGAGAGGAUGAUCAGCCACACUGGGACUGAGACACGGCCCAGACUCCUACGGGAGGCAGCAGUAGGGAAUAUUGGACAAUGGGCGCAAGCCUGAUCCAGCAAUGCCGCGUGAGUGAUGAAGGCC
rnacentral:rRNA from 1 species